AAUGAACGUUGGCGGCGUGGAUUAGGCAUGCAAGUCGAGCGGGCGUAGCAAAUACGCCAGCGGCGGAAGGGUGAGUAAGGCGACGGCAACCAACCCCGAGAAUGGGUAUAGCCGCGGGAAACUGCGGGUAAUCCCCAGCGAUGCGAGGGCGUCGGCAUCGACGCUUCGCCAAAGGAUUCGUCCGUCUCGGGACGGGCCGUCGUGGUAUUAGGUAGUUGGCGGGGUAACGGCCCACCAAGCCAUCGAUGCCUACCGGGCGUGCGAGCGCGGCCCGGCGACACUGGGACUGAGACACUGCCCAGACUCCUACGGGAGGCUGCAGUCGAGAAUCUUCGGCAAUGGGCGCAAGCCUGACCGAGCGACGCCGCGUGGAGGACGAAGGCC
rnacentral:rRNA from 1 species